rnacentral:rRNA from 1 species
GACGAACGCUGGCGGCGUGCCUAAUACAUACAAGUAGAACGCACAGUUUAUACCGUAGCUUGCUACACCAUAGACUGUGAGUUGCGAACGGGUGAGUAACGCGUAGGUAACCUGCCUGGUAGCGGGGGAUAACUAUUGGAGACGAUAGCUAAUACCGCAUAAUAUUGAUUAUUGCAUGAUAAUUGAUUGAAAGAUGCUAUUGCAUCACUACUAGAUGGACCUGCGUUGUAUUAGCUAGUAGGUGAGGUAACGGCUCACCUAGGCGACGAUACAUAGCCGACCUGAGAGGGUGAUCGGCCACACUGGGACUGGGACACGGCCCAGACUUCUACGGGAGGCAGCAGUAGGGAAUCUUCGGCAAUGGACGAAAGUGUGACCGAGCAAAGCCGCGUGAGUGAAGAAGGUUUUCGGAUCGUAAAGCUCUGUUGUAAGAGAAGAACGGGUGUGAGAGUGGAAAGUUCACACUGUGACGGUAUCUUACCAGAAAGGGACGGCUAACUACGUG